AUAACUUCUUCAUUUUUAUUUAAUACAGCAGAAAGCACUACAAUUUCGACAACUACUCCUACCACUACCACCACAGGACGUCCAACUUGUAAUGCUCAGACCUGUCCAUAUGGAGCUACGUGCGUCCCUCUAUUCAAUGACACCGUCUGCCAGUGUCCGUAUGGAUUCUACUAUUCACCAAAAAGCUGUGAGCUAGGUAAAGUAUUCCCAGGACAAAUAACUAUAACAAAUAUAACAUAUGACCAGGACAUGGAAAACAAGGAGUCUGUAAAGUAUGGUGAAGUAUACUAUUCUCUUACCAGCCUUGUAAGUUCAUAU
rnacentral:lncRNA from 1 species